AAAUCACCGGUUCCCGUACGAUUACUGAAGUUAAGCAAUGCGGAGCUUGGUGAGUAUCUAGAUGAGUGACCCCUUGGUAAUACCAGGUGC